UAUGUACUCCCUCCGUUCCAAAAUACUUGACUUCCAUUUGUCCAAAAAUGGAUGUACCUAUAUACUAAGAUAUGUCUAGAUACAUAUAUAUUUUGACAAAUAGAAGGCAUGUAUUGUGCAACGAAGGGAGUAGAAU
rfam:Triticum urartu cultivar G1812 contig677043, whole genome shotgun sequence.